rnacentral:misc_RNA from 1 species
CAACCCUCGAUCCCGGUUCCGGGCUCGGUGUUGGGGUCCGGCCACACGCCUAUGGGCGGGGGCCGACCCCGAAAAUCAGUGGCGGUCUCGCUGCAGCCUCCCCUGCGUAGUAGCAUACCUCGCACUGGAGCUCAGCGUGUCCACGCCAUAAGCCAGCGCGACCCCCUGGGGCCGCACGCUCUGAAGG